rnacentral:rRNA from 1 species
GAUACCUACGGGGCGCAGCAGUGGGGGAUAUUGGACAAUGGGGGGAACCCUGAUUCAGCGACGCCGCGUGAGUGAAGAAGUAUUUCGGUAUGUAAAGCUCUGUCAGCAGGGAAGAAAGAAAUGACGGUACCUGACCAAGAAGCCCCGGCUAACUACGUGCCAGCAGCCGCGGUAAUACGUAGGGGGCAAGCGUUAUCCGGAAUUACUGGGUGGAAAGGGAGCGUAGACGGUUAAGUAAGUCUGGAGUGAAAGGCCGGGGCCUAAACCC